AGCAGCCGCGGUAAUUCCAGCUCCAAUAGCGUAUAUUAAAGUUGUUGCAGUUAAAAAGCUCGUAGUUGAAUUUCGGGAUCAAUUAAUCGGUCGUGCCUCUGGUACGCACUGGUUUUAUUGGUUUCUCCCUUCUGACGAACCAGGAUGUCAUUAAUUUGGUGUCUUGGAGAAUCAGGACUGUUACUUUGAAAAAAUUAGAGUGUUUAAAGCAGGCUAACGCUUGAAUACAUUAGCAUGGAAUAAUGAAAUAGGACGUUUGAUCCUAUUUUGUUGGUUUCUAGGAUCGACGUAAUGAUUAAUAGGGAUAGUUGGGGGCAUUAGUAUUCAAUUGUCAGAGGUGAAAUUCUUGGAUUUAUUGAAGACUAACUACUGCGAAAGCAUUUGCCAAGGAUGUUUUCAUUAAUCAAGAACGAAAGUUAGGGGGAUCGAAGACGAUCAGAUACCGUCGUAGUCUUAACCAUAAACUAUGCCGACUAGGGAUCGGAUGAUGUUAAUUUUUUAAUGACUCAUUCGGCGCCUUACG
rnacentral:rRNA from 1 species